UUCAUCUAUGACCUAGAUGAGGGCACAGAGUAUACCCUUGGCAAGUUUGCUGAUGAUACAUAACUGUUUUCCUUGGCUUGUUUUUUUUUUAGGGAUGAGUCUUGUGUUUGCUGUGCCAUACUCUGCAUUCUCCUUCUUUUCUUUAUAUCCAUGACAAUUCAUCUGGGACUGUUCCUGUUCCCUUUAGGAACUCCUGCGGCUGAGCUGUGGGUAAACUGCAUUGAUUGCAACUUCUGUAAUCCGACUUGGUCCACCCCUGUCAUCUUGAUAAGUCAAACUCCUUUUGCCACUUCUUUUGUUGAUGUUACGAGCCUGGUUUUUUAAAGUUGUGGGGGAAAAAAAAGGUACUAUUUUUCAGCCUGUGAAUGACAGAUUUUUCACAGGGAUUUGCCUUUAACUUCUUUCAUGCUCUCCUGAAAUUAAUUUUUCUCAGUCUGAUGUUUCUAAAUUGCCUCUCUUCUAGUUCUUACAUUGUGCUUCUCUUUUGCUGAUGUGCUGAAGUGCACAAUUUGAACUUUUUUGUUUUGGUUUUGUUUUUCAAAACUUCAAGGAAAAGAAUAAUCUCCUCUAGUUGUCGAAGUUUACAUCAGGAGGAAGCAAACUGUACCCUAGGUCUGCUCCAUUCAUUAUAACCUUGGCAUUUUGAAUAUUAAAACCAAGAUAAGUAAAUUGACCAUAGUAUUUUUGACAUAACAUUAACGUAAGAGUGAAGAAGGUUAUUCCUCAGGUUUGUUCUACAGAUUUAUGUUUCAGGAAUUUGCAAUGGGUUCAUGUUGAUUUUACCCGAAAGUCUCCACAGAAAUCUUUUUUAAGAAUUUAAACUUACAUAUUCCUGACACACUGCAUCCCUUCCAAGUUUGUUUGGUGAUGCAGGAAAUUUUUCAAAUUUCUCUAGUGUAAGUUUCUUCACUUCACAGUAUUUUUUUUCUUCCCUUUCUGUUCUGUUCAUGAACAGAAGAAGAUUGAAUUAGUCUUAUCAGCUGAAACAAUAUGAUCUUUAUGAUUUCUGAAAUUUAAGCCAAGGGAGUAGAAAUGUAAUGGUGUCUACUUGUCAAGAUAGAUGGAAAUGUGAAAUUCAAACAAGGGAUCAUUGAGGAAUGCUAUUUUUAUUACAAGAUAUUUAUUUAACUAUACAAUAUUUUCUUCCUUCUGAGGUACCAUUAGAUAUAUAAUAUAAAGUAAGAAAAAAAAUGUUUAUUAUAUCAAUCUUCUUUUAUAAUAAAUUUAUCAAGUAGAAAGUGCA
rnacentral:lncRNA from 1 species